CGCUCGUGAACGCGCUGCGCAGACAGUGCACGACACGCGAGUGGCCAGAGAGUGUCUGGAGUCUGUCUGAAACUGAUAAAAAUGGUGAUGAUGGAGUUCAUCCAGAGUCUCGCUCAUACUCAUUAGCAAAACAAAGGGAGACAGAGCGGAAUUAUACAAUCAUCCAACACUCUGUAGUCUGAUCGUAGCUCGAAAACUAGAUUCUAUUGUAGCGCAUUUCAAAGUUUUAUUCCAUGUUUUUCACCAGACAGACAGUUCAUUAAUGCACAGGCAGGAGGAUUAUGUUUCUGAAGACCUCUUGGAGCUGUCACAGAUUCAGCGGCACUUAAAGGUGAUACCCGUGUUCUGCGGCUGUGCUGCCGUGCUGACGGAUAGGGAAGAGGAACAGAGAUGACCUGUCUGCAGAGAUGAUACAGUCCCCUUCAUCUCUUCUCCACUUCCCGGUCCUCUUGUACUUCUGUGCUAGUUCAGUCAGAAGCCAAAGAAAUGUCAGGGGUGAGUUCAAUAAGGCUGGGUAAUUGCGAUUCUGUCUUCUUGUCCGUUGGACUGAAUCAUCUUCCAUUAGAGGAGCGGUGGGGGGGCCCUUACCCAGGGCCAAAGAGCAAUCUAAAUCCUCAACGCCUGUUAAAGGCACUGCAAGUCAUCUCCAUACAAACACAAGGAAAAUCCACCAACAUGCACAAACAUUUAUUUUGUUGUUCUUUAUCUUUUGUUUGUACCUUUUUUUUGCCUAUAGAAUGGUCGAUAUAAACCUUUAUUGAAAAGAACUUGCAGAUUUUUAGAGACAGACUUUGAGAGCAACCUGAGGUUAAGUGUAAUGUUUAGAAAUGUUUAAUGUAUUGCCCUGGCCAAGGUUCAAAUCUCAGCCCAGAUGCAUAAGCACAACACAUUCACCCUCAGAAAAUCUGAAUUGUUAAGUGCAAUUCUGAUGCAAGUUUACACAUUCUUUAUGCUUGUAUUUCUUUAUUCAGCACAUGUUGCUGAUUUUGUGUUCAGUAACCACCAGAAAUGCUGAAAUGUACUUCAAACAUUGCUAAAAGCUAUUUUAUUUUGGUGUUGAGAAUUCCCACAUUUUCAGUUGUCCAGAAUCACUUUUGAAACAUCUGGCUUUUGUAUUAGAUGUGAAGGGACAUCUCUUGUACACAAUGACAUGCUUGUCACUGUUGAAGUUUGAUAGGACCAGGCAGUGUUCACGGUACUAGAAGGGGUCCCUCUGUAAUGUAAUGUAGUUCUGUGGAAAAACGUACAAUACUGCCAUCUGCUGACGUGAAUUGGAACCAAAUUUAUGAAAGCGUUUCAUGAAGGGUCAAAAUGUGCCAGUUUACCCGAUAUAUAUAAUAAAUGUAUAAUAAUACAUUUCAAGUAUUUGCAAUACACAAUGCAACACUUUUUCUUCACUUUUCUAGGGCAGCUUAAUUUAUUGUUGGAAUAUGAAUUUGACCAAGCAUCUACAGUCACACAUCCUGCACCUCACUCCUAACACAUGUCCACCAUUUGUAAUGCAUUAUGAUUUAUGUUUCGCUCUACUGAUUGUAUUGGAUAAUGUCUGACUGCAUCUCAACUAUCUUUAUAUGCAAGAGAGAAUGAUGAGCAUUUAAAAAGCUAGAAAAGAUGGGAUGUCUUUUUUUCCUAGAUUAGAGCCUUUGUCUUGUCAAAUGAUGUGUAUAAUCUAUAUGUAUGUUAUGCUGGUAAUUUGAUUAAAUAAUUAUCCAUUUUUAAUAAUUGAAAAAAAUAAAAAAAAUUAAAUCCUAGUCAAUAAAAAUAAUAAUUAUUAUUAUAAACACAGUAGGCAGUUAACUUUGUUUCCACUGAUGAGGAUACUAAUAACAGCAAGCAGCACCACUGCUGAGUCAGAGCAUUAGGCAGCUGUAUACAUCAGAACACACAACAGCUUAGACCAGUUAACUUUAACCAAACACCCUGUGCUAAAUAUCUUUGAAAGUUGCACACACACUGGUAUCUCAAGUUCAGGAAACUUUGCCAUGAAGCAGCAUUGCAUUCUAUGGCACACCAGGAUGCAUCCUUUAUUCAUUUAACAUACAGUUGGACAGCUCAUGUUUGCUCUUGACUUUGAAGGGAAGAUGAUGUGAUAGGUUAAACAGUAACAGUAUAACCAGAACACAAUAUUUGAAUAAGUAUGAUGUUUUUUUUUGUGUGUGUGUGUGUAAGAAAUUCAGAGAAUAUAAAUUGGUAAAUGGAUGGGUAAACUUGUAUCACUUAUGUGCUUUCACACACAUUUACAUGUAUGGUCAAUCCUAAUUGCUGAUAUAAAUAGAUGAGGGGGUAGGAUAAGCUGUCUCAGAUGACUCCUUCCUCAUAGGUCCAGACCGAGUGGAAGUGAAUGAGGUCAGGGAGACAGCAAAGGGAGAAGGAUUUAUUUGGAGAAAACAUGCUGAUCAGUUUUAUAACUGAAAUCACAAAUGAAGAUCAGUGUUUUUUUGUAUUUGCUUGUAUGUACACUAAAUGUAUAACUGGAAACAACUUAUUCUAUUGUAUAAAGAUACUUAACAUGCUGGUAUAAAUAGUUAAUUAGAUUGGUCAAAUGCUAAAGAAUGUCAGUAAAAUGUUUCACACAUAAAAUGUGUUGAAUAUUG